rnacentral:rRNA from 1 species
GACGAACGCUGGCGGCGUGCCUAAUACAUGCAAGUAGAACGCACAGUUUAUACCGUAGCUUGCUACACCAUAGACUGUGAGUUGCGAACGGGUGAGUAACGCGUAGGUAACCUGCCUGGUAGCGGGGGAUAACUAUUGGAAACGAUAGCUAAUACCGCAUAAUAUUGAUUAUUGCAUGAUAAUUGAUUGAAAGAUGCUAUUGCAUCACUACCAGAUGGACCUGCGUUGUAUUAGCUAGUAGGUGAGGUAACGGCGCACCUAGGCGACGAUACAUAGCCGACCUGAUAGGGAGAUCGGCCACACUGAGAGGGAGACGCGGCCCAGACUCCUUAGGGAGGCAGCAGUAGGGAAACUGCGGAAAUGGACGAAAGUCUGACCGAGCAACGCCGCGUGAGGGAGGAAGGUUUUCGGAUCGUAAAGAACUGUUGUAAGGGAAGAACGGGUGUGAGAGUGGAAAGUUCACACUGUGACGGUAACUUACCAGAAAGGGACGGCUAACUACGUG